GUGGCUAUAGUUCAAUGGUAGAACACUGGUCUGUGGCACCAGAUACGAGGGUUCGAUUCCCUCUAGCCACC
rnacentral:tRNA from 1 species